CCACGAGGAGAACUCUGGAUACCAAUUCCUUUUUUGGAACGUUGCAACCGUACGGGUCGGUCCAUGAGUCUUUCAGUUCUUGACGACCAUCGGUCACCGAUGAGUUAGUUCGUUUGGUCGGUAUUCCGAGAGUCGAAGUAACUCCACGGUCUUCGUUAGGGGCUUGGACGAGGGCAUUAAUUAUUUCUUGGACGUAGGACUCUUUUUAUUAAUGUGUGGACAUAGGAGGAAUGGUGCGAUGAUAUUGUACAACUUUCCUUUUAAUUUUAUUCAUGUGUAUACUUUAACAAAUUGAUCUAUCACUGUAAUAUUUACGGUGAUAUAUUUGUUCAUUAAAUGUAUAGAAUUUAAUAUUUGCAUGAUGUUGAGGAAGGCCGUGAAACCUCGCGAGGGGGCAGACCACUGUAACAUAAUUUACAAAUCUAUUUCUUUUUUUAAUCACAAAGUGAAAUUUAUCUAUAAAAAUUUUUGAUUUUUUCUUGCAGAACGACUGCUUGUACGAGUGCAGAGUGAUCGAGCGAUAGAAGAUCGAGAGAAUGUUUAUGUUAGACUAACUGCAUGCGAGAAAAAUGUGAACGAUUGGCAACAACGCAUGAGAUUUUUCAAGAGCCCUUAUUUUAAUACAACCUUAAAAUAAAUAUCCAUGCAUGUGUGAGUUUGUAAUUGUGUAUAUAUGAUUGUGUACGUAAAUAUGUAUAUGUAUAUGGGUCGUAAAAAGGA